rnacentral:sRNA from 2 species
CAGUCGUAUAUUAUUUCAGCGCUAGGCUAUGAUUCUUUCGCCGUUUACAAGUGCAUACGCAGGAGCUUGUAAGCCCGGCUACUAGAUUUUCUCAAGGAACGAGUGGGACCCCAACAAUAAAAUAGAAAGUGGGGGUUACGGGAUACGACUCUGCCUGGAGGAUUGUCUUUGUGGAUCUCUGACUUGCUCCAAUGCAAUGAUGGGCAUUCCUUGCGUGCGUUAGCCUUUUUCCAGCAAAGCGCAAAAUCGAUCUGCGCUUGGAGCACAUGGAGCCCGCUUGAGCGUCGGCGAGGUCCGAGCACUCUUUUGUUGCCACAAAACCACUUCUACAUUUGCCUGGGCUGGUUCGGGCUUUGGGCAAUGGGUGAGAUAAUUUCUUCUAAGAAGUUGAAGCCUCGAUUUGAUUUUUUCAAAAUUCGCAGAGUGAUGGG